GGGCCCGCACAAGCGGUGGAGCAUGUGGUUUAAUUCGAUGAUACGCGAGGAACCUUACCAGGGCUUAAAUGUAGUAUGACCGGUCUAGAAAUAGACCUUCUCUUCGGAGCAGAUUACAAGGUGCUGCAUGGUUGUCGUCAGCUCGUGCCGUGAGGUGUUAGGUUAAGUCCUGCAACGAGCGCAACCCCUAUUCUUAGUUGCCAGCGGUUCGGCCGGGGACUCUAAGAAGACUGCCAGCGCAAGCUGAGAGGAAGUGGGGAUGACGUCAAAUCAUCACGGCCCUUACGUCCUGGGGCUACACACGUGCUACAAUGGUACAGACAGAGGGCAGCCACCUGGCGACAGGGAGCGAAUCCUAGAAAGUUUCUCGU
rnacentral:rRNA from 1 species